UGCAGACUCGUCGCCAGACCCGAGUCUAAAGGGGGGCAUAUGAAAUGCAUAGGGGGGCACAAUUAUCAUUAGCCUACACCUGCAGACGGAAGGCAGUGGCAGACAUGGCGUGUCCUUUUAUUGAAGAGCCAGUUGAUGUCGAGGCGCAGAUACUCCGCAGAAAUCGCCGUCGGGAGAGGGUUAUUAGACCCCGAUUGGAUGUUUUAUCAUUCCCUGAUGAGUACCUGUUUGAGCGUUUCCGUUUCUCUGCAUCAUCUAUAAUUUAUCGAAACAAUAUUCUCAGCCCUCACAUAGUUCAAAUGACCCAUCGUGGACACGCUCUCAGUUCCGAGCAAAGUCUUUGUAUUGCACUGCGUUUUUUUGCCAACGGCAGUUUUUUGUAUAACGUCGGUGAUGCAGAGCAUGUGUCCAAGGGUUGUUCGAAAUGUGACACUUGCACUGAAACGGCUACUAUACACGUUUGUAGUGUUCCCAAGUCACAGACCCAGCAGACUUCUCAAUGAAGAGUUCCACAGAAUUGCAGGAGAGUUUGAUGGUUAUCUAUUCGGAGACAGAGGGUACCCCUGCCAGCGCUAUCUGCUGACCCCUUACCCUGACCCUGAACCUGGCCCACAGCGACACUACAACUUGGCUCACUGCAGGACACGAGCCAGAGUGGAGAUGACCAUCGGCAUACUCAAGGCCCGGUUCCAGUGCCUUUGUUGGCUCAGGGUCACCCCGGAAAGGGCUUGUGACAUUAUAGUGGCAUGUGUGGUUCUCCACAACAUUGCCACUAUUAGAGGAGAACAAUGUCCUUCUCUUUCCCCCAAUGAUCCAGAUAAUAAUCCUAACCCCGCCUGGAAGAGCUGUUAGAGUGAUGAUAUGCUUCAAUCAUUUUUAACUGACCCAUCACCUUCCCAGUGUCAAAGAAGGACAAUAUGCCUCAUUUUAUGGGGUCUUCUUUAUUUCCUAGAAGGGCAAAUGUUGUACAGUUGUUAAUCCUUUGUUGUUGAAACAAUUAAAAUACAUCCACCUGUGGGCACGUCACCCACCUUUAACUGAUGGUCCAGCAGUUGUAUUUCCUUUUUAGUUUUGAUGAUCUGCAGCCUUAUGUGCUCCAUUUCUAGGUGUAAUUUGUUUAUUUGGGAUUCUAAAUAUACUUUGUUUCACAGGGAGCUAUAGGAACAUAAAUGACGUUGAAUUUCACAGUGCCUGUGCCAUGUCUACAUAGUGUCAUUGUAAG